CGACUAAGCGUACACGGUGGAUGCCCUGGCAGUCAGAGGCGAUGAAGGACGUGCUAAUCUGCGAAAAGCGUCGGUAAGGUGAUAUGAAUCGUUAUAACCGGCGAUGUCCGAAUGGGGAAACCCAGUGUGAUUCGUCACACUAUCGUUAACUGAAUACAUAGGUUAACGAGGCGAACCGGGGGAACUGAAACAUCUAAUUUCACCGAAGAAACGAAAUCAACCGA
rnacentral:rRNA from 1 species